CCUACGGGGGGCUGCAGUGGGGAAUAUUGGGCAAUGGGCGCAAGCCUGACGCAGCGACGCCGCGUGGAGGAAGAAGGCUUUCGGGUUGUAAACUUCUUUUAAGAGGGAAGAGCAGAAGACGGUAACUGACCCAGAAGCCCCGGCUAACUACGUGCCAGCAGCCGGGGUAAUACGUAGGGGGCAAGCGUUAUCCGGAUUUACUGGGUGUAAAGGGAGCGUAGACGGAAAGGCAAGUCAGACGUGAAAGCCCAAGGCUCAACCAGGGGACUGCAUAUGAAACUGUCAGACUAGAGUACGGGAGAGGUAAGAGGAAUUCCUGGUGUAGCGGUGAAAUGCGUAGAUAUUAGGAGGAACACCAGUGGCGAAGGCGUCUUACUGGACCAAAACUGACGUUGAGGCGCGAAAGCGUGGGGAGCAAACAGGAUUAGAUACCCGGGUAGUC
rnacentral:rRNA from 1 species